UUUCAUUUCAAAUUUCAAAUCCAGAGCCCUUUUUCAUUUUCGUUUUCUCUCUCCCUCAAAGAUCUGGAUCUGCUCUUCCUUCCUUCUCUCUCUCUUUCAAAUUCCCCCUGGAUCUGCAGGUUCUUCCCUUCUCUGGUUCCAGAGAUGUCGAUGGUGGUGUCACGGAAGAGGUUCGCAACAGAACAACUUUGGUGGAACCCUUGAAGAUCGACGAUGACGGUGGCGGUUAGGGUUCUGGUCGUGAAAUUGAAUUUCAUCUUUGAUGUUCAUCAUUAGAUUUGCUCUUUGCUUUGGAGAUACUAUUCAACGAGAUAGUAAGCCUUCAAUUUCAUAUUCCUUUGUCAAUUUCAUGAUUUAUUUCAUUUAAUGAGGAUGGAUCUUCGUUUUUUGUUGGUCAUGGUUUAAAGAACAUGAAAUGGUUUGAGAAGAGUUCAAGAUCAAGCUAUUGUUUUGUAGUAUGAAGGUGUGCAUCUUCCACAGAGGUACAUCCUUCAGUUUGUGUCAGCAAACCCAUGAGAUGGUGGGAAAAUACACAUGCUUGAGAUCAAUUAAGCACAAGAUUACGUAGACUUAUGAAAUUCAUGGGAUAAAAUCCCAUCUUUUUUUCUAUUCACCUGGUUGUGGUGGUUGUAAAGCUCUACACCCAAAGAUCUGUCAACUGGCUAAGUCAAGCUCUAAAGCAAUUUUCCUCCAAGUGAACUAUGAAGAACUCAAACCCAUGUGUCAAUCUCUCCAUAUUCAUGUUCUGUCUUUUCUCAGAUUCCACAAAGGUCAUGAGGCCAAGAUCUAUAUGCGAUAAGAGUCAUGUGAUUUUUUAUUAUGCCAAACACCCUCUAGCAAAGUGAACUAGAGACUCAUAAAGAAAAGGAAACUAUAGAUAUGUAAGUGGGGCUGAUGAGAAAAUCUCUAUGCUUUAUUAAAGCCCCAUUGUCUUUUCAAAAAAACAUUACAUCAUGAUGAUCUGCAAGUUGACGUUUAGGUUUUGGCUACAAAUAUGUCUGCUCUUUGUCUAUCUCAGAAACCCAUUUAUGUUCAAGCCGUGAGUGAGAUGAGAGACAGAAGUGGCAAUGAAGGCUUAGACUAGGGGUGAGCAUAAGGCCGAGUCUCUGCUAUGUAAGCAGGCCAUAAUCACUUGCGUAAAUAUGACAACACUAUUGAGGCCUUAGCAAUCCUUCUACACUUCAUGAGACUGUUGUGGAAGUGCCCAAUGUAAGAUGGGAAGACAUUGGUGGCCUCGAGAAUGCUAAACGAGAGCUACAAGAGGGACCGACUCUCAUUUCCGGUUGUUAGUGCACAUUCAAAGAGAAUCUAAUGCUAGACAUUUCGAGGAUUACUCAAUAAACAAGUCCCUUCAUGCCAAAGACUUGAAGUGAUAAAAGAUUGCGGUUUUGCAUCUGGAGAAGAGACCAAACGCUGAGUUGGAUAAAGAGCAAUAUAGAACUAACGGUUGCUACAAAUGGUGGGAACAAGGUUUGGUGACAUGUCCAUUUGUUAUCAGAUUAUUCAUAAACAUCACCAAUUAGAUGCUUGGAGUAAUGUCAUGCAUACAAAAUAUAAUAGUGAAGACAUUGAGGAGGGCAAGAAUUUGGGUUGACCAGAUUACUGUUGAUUGCAGAUGCUUGGAGAAUAAAAAUACCUUAUUUAUGUAAAUAGUAAUGUCAUGCAUAGAAAAUAUAUAUAGUGUUAUUGAUGAAGCACAAAGAAUGUAGGAUAAAGUUGAUUAACAAAAUGUGUAGUAUGAAGAAAUAUUUAGUCAUUUGCGAA